GAUGAACGCUGGCGGCGUGCCUAAUACAUGCAAGUCGAGCGAACAGACGAGGAGCUUGCUCCUCUGACGUUAGCGGCGGACGGGUGAGUAACACGUGGAUAACCUACCUAUAAGGCUGGGAUAACUUCGGGAAACCGGAGCUAAUACCGGAUAAUAUAUUGAACCGCAUGGUUCAAUAGUGAAAGACGGUUUUGCUGUCACUUAUAGAUGGAUCCGCGCCGCAUUAGCUAGUUGGUAAGGUAACGGCUUACCAAGGCAACGAUGCGUAGCCGGCCUGAGAGGGUGAUCGGCCACACUGGAACUGAGACACGGUCCAGACUCCUACGGGAGGCGGCAGUAGGGAAUCUUCCGCAAUGGGCGAAAGCCUGACGGAGCAACGCCGCGUGAGUGAUGAAGGUCUUCGGAUCGUAAAACUCUGUUAUUAGGGAAGAACAAAUGUGUAAGUAACUAUGCACGUCUUGACGGUACCUAAUCAGAAAGCCACGGCUAACUACGUGCCAGCAGCCGCCGUAA
rnacentral:rRNA from 1 species